rnacentral:lncRNA from 1 species
UAAAGAGUGUUGGGAUGUGGAGGAAAAAUGAGAGUGUUGUCGUCGGGGUGGUGAAGGGUGGGGUUUUUGUGGCCGUGGUAAGGUUUAAGUAAAGCAAUGUGAAGCAACCACUCCUAUGCAUUUGAUGAUGCGAUAUGGACCAUAAUAUUUUCGAAUGAGUUUGUGGUGAGGCUUGGAAGAGAGGGAAAAUUGUUGGUAUGCUUUUCGUCGUAGUGGCACCCAAUUGUUAAUGUUGAAGACGUAGUCGUGAUUUGUUUGCAAUUUGGGCCAUGCGAUGUUGAGUGUGAGCGAGGGUGGUCUUCAAAUGGUGCAUUAUCUAUGUGCACUCUUGUAAGGUAGUGGCGAGAGCUGGUUCUGUUGUCGUGCUCGAAAUGUAGUCUGAUAUGGAAGGUGGAGGUCGCCCAUAAAGCGCUUGGAAAGGUGUAGUAUUGAUUGCGGUAUGGUAGGACGAGUUAUACCAAAACUCAACAAGGUGUAAGUACUUGUACCAUGUCCUCGGAUGGUCACUUGCGAAGGUAAAUUUCUAAUCCUCUAUUUAUGACUUCCGUUUGACCAUCUGUUUGAGGAUGAUAGGCGGUGCUAAAUUUGAGUUUGGUGCCUUGUAGGUGAAAAUGUUGCUUCCAAAAAAUUACUGAGUAAGAGUGAGUCUCUAUCGAAGAUGAUGGAUUUGGGAAUGUCGUGCAACCUACAAAUCUCAACAGAAAACGGUUAGCCAAUUGGGAUACGGUGAAGGAGGUGGGUAAUGCUAUGAGGUGGACAGAUUUGGACAAAAGAUCACAUAUGACCCAUAUCACCGUGUGGCUAAAUGUGUUAUGAAAUCUGUGGUGAGCUCAUCCCAAAUUUGGGUUGGUGAGGGAUUGGGUUGUAAAAGACCUAAGGGUUUGUUGUUGACUUGUUUAUUUUUUUUGGCAAGGGAGACAUUGUUUGAUGAACGAUUUGACAUCUCUAUACAUCCCUGGCCAAUAUAAGGACGCGGCUAGGCGAGCCACAAUGGCUUUAAGGCCCGAGUGUCCAACAGAGGGGGUGGCAUGGAACUAGUGAAGUAUGGUGGUGUGCAGAGAUUAUAUGGAUGUUAGAUAUAGUCUUCGGUCGAGAUACAAAAGAUCGUUUUGAAAGGUAUAUUCUUUGUUUUGAGAAGCUGUAACUUUGUGUACUUCUUGUUUCCCCAAUUUUGACUGGUAAUAUUUUUUUAAUUGCAAGAGGAUUUCUAGGAUUGGGGAGGAGAUGGCCAAAAAAAUAGAAGUGGGUGACCGAGAGAGGAAAUAAACUGCUUGAUUGUGGCGGUCUGGGCGGUACAAAAUAUAAAAAAUGUAACCAAUGAGUUUGGUGGCCAUUUUUGUUGCUCUAGAGUAGAACAUGCCUUGGUAAGUAACCCCUUAAGACUUCUGUGAGAAUUUGGAAAUGAUUGUCAAUUAGGUAGUGUCUCCAUUUUUUUAUUGCCUUAGUGAUUGCGAGCAUUUCUUUGACAUGCACUAAAUUAUAAUGUAUUUUGGAACAUAGCUUCUUGCUGAAGAAAGCAAUGGGAUGACCAGCUUGGGAGAGAACUGUGCCAAUGACAGAAUUGGAGGCAUCUUUUUCAACCACAAACGAAAGAGAAAAAUCUAGAAGAUGUAGAACAAAGAGUGUAGUUAGGAAUUUCUUAAAUUGUAAAAAGGUCUUUUGUGCCUCUUCAUUCCAUGUAAAAACUUUGAAUUUUAGUAAAUCCGUGAAUGGAGGGGCAAGAAUGGCAUAACCGUGUAUAAAUUUGUGAUAAAACUCGGUAAUUCCCAAAAAAACGCGGAGAGUGGUGAGAGAGGUAGGUUUGGGCCAAAGAAGUAUGGCCUGAAUCUUGUCUGGGUCAGGAGCAACAGUCCCUGCUUGAAUGAUAUGGCCCAAAUAGAAAACCCUAGACGUUGCAAACAUGCACUUAGAUUCUUUGACAAAAAAUUGUUGUCUUGAAGUAAUUAGAGAGUAAUGGUAAGGUGUUGGAUAUGCUCUGACAUGGAUUUACUGUAGAUAAGGAUGUCAUAAAUAAACUAGCACAAAUUGUCUUAGAUGCGGUCUUAGGAGGUCGUUCAUGGCCGCUUGAAA